rnacentral:lncRNA from 15 species
GAGUCAAUAACAAAUGUUUGAAAAGUAUUUUCUUUUGAUGCAAUUUUGUUCCACUUUCUCUCUGUGAACAAGUGUGGCUGCAAUCUCCACUGACAACAACCCUCCUCUGUAUCUUUAGUGUGAACUGGUUAUAAUGUGGAAACAACAGGUUCACAUUCAUUAAACAAGGUCACAUAAUGAACACUGUGCAUUCAACAGUUGAUUGUGACUCUGAUAGUAAACUGUUUGUUCAAUGCAAUAUUAGAAAUGCUGACAUUGUGAGAACAGAUGCUAAUUUAAUGUCUGUUUCUUUUGCAGCAACAAUCCAUAAAAUAGUCGAGGAGAAGGACCCUGUCUCUCUGAGUUGUCCUCACUCUGUGGAGGGUAAAGUGACGUGGAGCAGAGAGAGAGAUGGAACUAAAGUUGACAUACUUACAGCUGAUGGUGACGGAGAGAUAAGACACAAUGAUCCACGCAGACGAUACAGUUCAGUGGCAGAUAAAUCACUUUACAUUGGUAGAGUUACUGUCUCAGACACUGGAAGAUACUUCUGUAAUAAUGAACCAGCUGUGGAGCUGACGGUGAUCCCAUCAGGAACAACCAGACUUGAUGCUGCAGAGAGGACCACCAUCACUCUGAAAUGUCCUCCUGAUGUUGGAGGAUCAGAUGUUCCAACAUGUUCAACUGUGAACAAAGGUGAGACAUCUGAGAGAGGUGAGACACAAGAAGACAGACAGGAAGACAGAAAUAUUUUGUUCCCUUUGUACAGAGUCAGGCUAGCUGUUUCCCCCUGUUUCCAGUCUUUGUGCUAAGCUAACAGACAGCUGGCUGUAGCUCCAUAAGAGUGGUAUUGAUCUUCUUUAAACAGAUAAUGCAGAUAAACAACUGAACACAAGACUCAAUAAAGGUAAAUACAGUAUGACUGUAAUCUGCAGGUCUACCAAGAUGGCAAGUUGAANNNNNNNNNNNNNNNNNNNNCUCGUGGUUAAAUGUCUGACACUUCUGACCCGUGACUGUCUGUGGUAAAGUGCACUUGAACCCAGUUAUAUAUAUAUAUAUAUAUAUAUAUAUAUAUAUAUAUAUAUAUACAUUUCUGAAACCAUUAAUACAUUUUUUUAAAAACAACGUAGCAUUCCUAGAGAAAUAAAGAUAAAACUUUUAUAUUAUUACUUUUUUUAUUGCAGUGACAAUCACACUAUCAAGCAUGGCUAACCUGGAUUUUGUCCUGUAGGCCGACAUGUGUUUGUUUUUUUCAGCUGAAAGCUAACAUUGGGACAUACUGCUGUGUGCUAACCAGUGACACUAACAUCUACUAUGGGAGCCAUGUUGGUUACAGUAAUACUAUUAGCAACCAGAAUAUCCCAGAAUGUAAGCACGAUGCAAUUACAUCAGCAUACUGUACGAUUCAUUUUCUCUGCUCCAUACAGACGGUGAAACGUCAACAACAUCAACAACAUCAUCAACAACAACAACAUCAUCAACAUCAACAACAUCAACAACAUCAUCAACAACAUCAUCAACAACAACAACAUCAACAACAUCAAUAAUAUCAUCAACAACAUCAUCAACAACAUCAACAACAACAACAUCAACAACACCAACAACACCAACAACACCAACAACACCAGCAGCAGAAAGAACUACAGGAACUACAGUAUUACAGUGUAAGUACAUCCCUCUCUUCUGCUCACUCUCAGCUAAAUGCAUCAGAGAUCUUCUGUGUUAUUAAUUCUUACUUUGUCUCUCAGCGCCUCCUAAAGACCAGAGAACACCUCUUAGUUUGGUGAUUGAAGUCCUUUUCCUCUUCCUCUUCAUCAUCAUCAACACCAACAUCAUCAUCUGCUGUAGACAGAGAUGCAGGUUUGAGAGACAAGGUGAACAAACUGAGUGAAUAGACUGACGUGUCAAAGGCUGAUUGUUUUUGGUUUUUAUAUUUAUAUUUGGGGCUUUUUGAAGCAAGGAAAGUGGAAGAGAGAGGAGACGACACGCAGCUAGGGGCCACAGGUCAGACUCAAACCCACGGUCGCUACAGCUCAGCCUCGGUACAUGUGGUACCAGCUCUACCAGGUCAGCUACCAGGGCACCCUCCCUCCCCUGGUUUGUCAUUUUAAAGCAGAUAAUCACUGAUUACUCAGCAGAUUACUGAAACUGAGAACUUGUGACAAUCUUAUUCUGCAGAGACUGAAGAAAUGGACCCCGAGUAUGACGAUAUAGAGGAUGGAUCAUUGUUUCAAUCUACAAACGGUGAUCACUCAGGGCUCUUCUCCUCCUUCUUUCUUGUCUAACUUUAUAAAUUGGAUGAAUCUCACGUUGAUGUCCACAGAUUUCUAAAGUUCAGAAACUGUAAUCAGGUUUAUCCUUGAGUUGGUUCUGGUUAAUGAUGGCUGUUGGUUAAUGUUUUAAUAGAUGAAUCAAACCACAGUGAUCCAACGUAUUCAACCAUCCCUGAUCUUCCUCCAGUGCAAAUGAAGAUAUAAAGACAUCUACAUUUACAGUCACACAUUUUAACAUUGAACCAAAUGGUUAUUCAUUGUAUUUAAUAUUUUUUUACAGACACAUUUCUGCCUAAUAAGUUCUCGUAAUCCUGGAUCAGCUGCACUUUUCUUGGUGGAAAUAAUAAAGGUAACUUUAAUCAUCAGCUCCACAUUCUGGGUUUGUUGUAUUAAAUGUAAAUACAUUUGUACUGUAGGUUUACUGGAUCAAAGAGCCGUUAUAAUAUGAGAUUUCUUUUCCUCACAGCCGACUGACAACACGUAUUCUUUACUAGAGAAACCCAAAGCAGCUGGAAACCAGUGACCAACGUUGGACCUGAAUAUUGAGCCGCUGUUGGGUUGAAACAUGUUUCUGUAAGAGCUGUUUAUAGGAAAAUACUGUGAGGGAAAAGCUGAUUUAUGUU